rnacentral:tRNA from 1 species
GCAGGGAUUUCCGAGUGGUCAAAGCCCUCUGAGGGUUGGCUACAGGAGCCAGGCUUAGGACCUGGUGGCGUAGUGUUCCGUCAGUGUUUGGCGGGGCUGCGUAGGCCUUCGCGUGUUCAAAUGUCACGCUCCCUGCACCA